GGUAGAGAAUACCAAGGCGCUUGAGAGAACUCGGGUAAAGGAACUAGGCAAAAUGGUGCCGUAACUUCGGGAGAAGGCACGCUGGUGGUAAGUGAAAUCCCUGCGGGUGGAGCUGAAGCCAGUCGAAGAUACCAGGCCCCUGCGACUGUUUAUUAAAAACACAGCACUGUGCAAACACGAAAGUGGACGUAUACGGUGUGACGCCUGCCCGGUGCCGGAAGGUUAAUUGAUGGGGUUAGCAUUCGUGCGAAGCUCUUGAUCGAAGCCCCGGUAAACGGCGGCCGUAACUAUAACGGUCCUAAGGUAGCGAAAUUCCUUGUCGGGUAAGUUCCGACCUGCACGAAUGGCGUAACGACUUCCCCGCUGUCUCCAGCAUAGACUCAGUGAAAUUGAAUUCCCCGUGAAGAUGCGGGGUUCCUGCGGUCAGACGGAAAGACCCCGUGCACCUUUACUAUAGUUAUGCAGUGUAAUGAAUUUUUUUUUGUGUAGAAUAGGUGGUAAGUUGUUAAUUUAAAUGGCUAUUUGCGCUAGCAAAUAAGUUAAACAUCGUUGAAAUACCACUCUAAAAACUUUUCAUUACUCAUUGAUUAAGACAUUGUAUAAUGGGUAGUUUGACUGGGGCGGUCGCCUCCUAAAGAGUAACGGAGGCGUGCAAAGGUAAACUUAAGUUGAACUAGUACAACUUUAAAGCAUAAUAGUAUAUGUUUGCCUGAUUGUAAGAUUGACAAAUCGAGCAAGGACGAAAGUCGGUUAUAGUGAUCCGGUAAUUCUGUGUGGAAAAGGUUACCGCUCAACGAAUAAAAGGUACGCCGGGGAUAACAGGCUAAUCACUCUCCAGAGACCCUAUCGACGGAGUGGUUUGGCACCUCGAUGUUGGAUCAUCGCAUCCUGGAGCUGUAGGCGGUUCCAAGGGUUUGACUGUUCGUCAAUGAAGGCGGUACGUGAUCUGAGUUCAGAACGUUGUGAAACAGUUUGGUCCCUAUCUACCGUAAGAGUAAAAAACUGAGAGGAGUAGAGUAUAGUACGAGAGGACCCAUGAAGAUAAAUCCCUGGUGAAUCGAUUGUUAGACCAAUAGCAUAGUCGAUUAGCUACAUUUAAAAUAAAUAAUCACUGAAAGCAUCUAAGUGAGAAAUUAACCUCAAUACAAGUUUUUUCUAAAAUGUAGAAGAUUACUACAUUGAUAGGCCUGAUGUUUAAGAGUUGUAAGACUUUCAGCUGACAGGUACUAAAAAG
rnacentral:rRNA from 13 species